rnacentral:piRNA from 1 species
AGACGCUCAUCUUUCAGGUGAAGGAAAG